GGAAACAUUUUGCCGAUGUGGAAGAGGUGAAACAAAAAACAGCAGAAGCACUAAAAGGCAUCAAAAUCAAUGAGUCCAAAAACAGUUAUGAGCGGUGGAAAAGUCUCGAUAGAUGUAUUCCAUCAAAUGGAGAGUACUUUGAAGGUGACUAAAGUUUAAACACGGUUUUGAAUGGACAAAGAACUUGGAAAAAAGAAGAAAGGUAACUAGCUCAUAAAUUUCCUCAAAAUUAGGCAAUUUUGCGCUAUUUUCAGCUGGCAGACUUUGAGUUCUUUUCUAAUGCUUCCAGAAUCAUUAAAAGAUGAGUUAACAAGAAAAAACACAAUCUCAAAAGUCAAAGGGAUAACAACAACAACAAC